CAGCUAUUCGGUAGCUUCACACAUGCAGUCGUACGGGAAGAAAUUUUUAGUGGCGAACGGGUGAGUAACGCGUGAGAAUUUGCCUUUAGGAAGAGGAUAACAAUUAGAAAUCUUUGCUAAAACUCUAUAUGCCAGUUAAUCUGGUGAAAAAAGAAAUUUGCCUAAAGAGAAGCUCGCGUCUGAUUAGCUAGUUGGUGGGGUAAAGGCUUACCAAGGCGACGAUCAGUAGCUGGUCUGAGAGGACGAUCAGCCACACUGGAACUGAGACACGGUCCAGACUCCUACGGGAGGCAGCAGUGAGGAAUUUUCUGCAAUGGGCGAAAGCCUGACAGAGCAAUACCGCGUGAGGGAUGAAGGCCUACGGGUUGUAAACUUCUUUUCUCAAGGAGGAAGAUCUGACGUUACUUGAGGAAUAAGCAUCGGCUAACUUCUGUGCCAGCAGCCGCGGUAAUACAGGGGAUGCAAGUGUUAUCCGGAAUUAUUGGGCGUAAAGCGUCUGCAGGUGGAUUUUUAAGUCUUUUGUUAAAUGUUUGGGCUUAACCCAAAAUCUGCAAAAGAAACUAUUGAUCUUGAGUCUGGUAGAGGUAGAAGGAAUUUCCAGUGGAGCGGUGAAAUGCGUAGAGAUUGGAAAGAACACCAAAAGCGAAGGCAUUCUACUGGGCCAUGACUGACACUCAGAGACGAAAGCUAGGGGAGCAAACAGGAUUAGAUACCCUGGUAGUCCUAGCUGUAAACGAUGGACACUAGAUGUUGUUGAUUCACUGGAUCAGCAGUGUCGUAGCUAACGCGUUAAGUGUCCCGCCUGGGAAGUAUGCUCGCAAGAGUGAAACUCAAAGGAAUUGACGG
rnacentral:rRNA from 1 species